GAAACACAUUACAAAAGCUUCCCCAUGCUUCCACAACACCACUGAUGAGGUUCAUAAAAUUAAGUGGACUGUAUUGUGUUACAUUUGUCUGUUUGGGUUUGCUCACAAUAAAACAGAACUAUAAACAACUGUCAUACAGGUGGAAGGUUAAGCUAGCUAUAAAACCACAUUUAACCCACUAUUUCCUUUGGAAAAUGCCCG
rnacentral:lncRNA from 1 species